GAUGAACGCUAGCGGCAGGCCUAACACAUGCAAGUCGAGGGGUAACAUUGUGCUUGCACAGAUGACGACCGGCGCACGGGUGCGCACCGCGUAUGGAACCUACCUUUUACAGGGGGAUAGCCCAGGGAAACUUGGAUUAAUACCCCGUAGUACUAUUUAGUAGCAUUACCUAAUAGUUAAAGCCUUCGGGCGGUAAAAGAUGGCCAUGCGUCCCAUUAGCUAGAUGGCGAGGUAACGGCUCACCAUGGCAACGAUGGGUAGGGGCCCUGAGAGGGGGAUCCCCCACACUGGUACUGAGACACGGACCAG
rnacentral:rRNA from 1 species